UACAGGGGGUGCAAACGUUGCUCGGAAUCAUUGGGCGUAAAGCGCACGUAGGCGGUUUGUUAUGUCGGAUGUGAAAGCCCUUGGCUCAACUGAGGAAGUGCAUCCGAAACUGGCAAGCUAGAGUACUAAAGAGGGUCGCGGAAUUCCCGGUGUAGAGGUGAAAUUCGUAGAUAUCGGGAGGAACACCGGUGGCGAAGGCGGUGACCUGGGUAGAUACUGACGCUGAGGUGCGAAAGCGUGGGGAGCAAACAGG
rnacentral:rRNA from 1 species